rnacentral:rRNA from 1 species
GGAAUAUUGGUCAGUGGAUGCAAGUCUGAACCAGCCAUGCCGCGUGCAGGAAGAAGGCCCUAUGGGUCGUAAACUGCUUUUAUACCAGAGAAAACCCUCGUACGUGUCCGAGGCUGAUAGUAUGGUAAGAAUAAGCAUCGGCUAACUUCGUGCCAGCCGCCGCGGUAAGACGAAGGAUGCAAGCGUUAUCCGGAUUCAUUGGGUUUAAAGGGUGCGUAGGCGGACUUGUAAGUCAGUGGUGAAAUCUCUUUGCUUAACAAAGAAACUGCCAUUGAUACUGCUAGUCUAGAGUAUAGAUGACGUUGGCGGAAUAUGACAUGUAGUGGUGAAAUACUUAGAUAUGUCAUAGAACACCGAUUGCGAAGGCAGCUAACGAAACUAUAACUGACGCUGAGGCACGAAAGUGCGGGGAUCAA